GACGAACGCUGGCGGCGUGCUUAACACAUGCAAGUCGAACGGAAAGGCCCUGCCUUUGUGGGGUGCUCGAGUGGCGAACGGGUGAGUAACACGUGAGUAACCUGCCCUUGACUUUGGGAUAACCUCAGGAAACUGGGGCUAAUACCGGAUAGGAGCUCCUGCUGCAUGGUGGGGGUUGGAAAGUUUCGGCGGUUGGGGGUGGACUCGCGGCCUAUCAGCUUGUUGGUGGGGUAGUGGCUUACCAAGGCCUUGACGGGUAGCCGGCCUGAGCGGGUGACCGGCCACAUUGGGACUGGAAUACGGCCCAGACUCCUACGGGAGGCAGCGGUGGGGAAUAUUACACAAGGGGCGGAAGCCAGAUGCAGCAACGCCGCGUGCGGGAUGACGGCCUUCGGGUUGUAAACCGCUUUCGCCUGUGACGAGGUGUGAGUGACGGUAAUGGGUAAAGAAGCACCGGCUAACUACGUG
rnacentral:rRNA from 1 species